rnacentral:rRNA from 1 species
CCUACGGGAGGCAGCAGUGGGGAAUAUUGCGCAAUGGGCGAAAGCCUGAACCAGCCAAGUAGCGUGAAGGAUGACUGCCCUAUGGGUUGUAAACUUCUUUUAUAUGGGAAUAAAGUGCAGUAUGUAUACUGCUUUGCAUGUACCUUAUGAAUAAGGAUCGGCUAACUCCGUGCCAGCAGCCGUGGUAAUACGGAGGAUCCGAGCGUUAUCCGGAUUUAUUGGGUUUAAAGGGAGCGUAGGCGGGUUGUUAAGUCAGUUGUGAAAGUUUGCGGCUCAACCGUAAAAUUGCAGUUGAUACUGGCAUCCUUGAGUACAGUUGAGGUAGGCGGAAUUCGUGGUGUAGCGGUGAAAUGCUUAGAUAUCACGAAGAACCCCGAUUGCGAAGGCAGCUUACUAAACUGUGACUGACAUUGAUGCUCGAAAGUGUGGGUAUCAAACAGGAUUAGAUACCCCUGUAGUC